GGGGUGCUAUACAUGCAGUCGAGCGAAUGGAUUAAGAGCUUGCUCUUAUGAAGUUAGCGGCGGACGGGUGAGUAACACGUGGGUAACCUGCCCAUAAGACUGGGAUAACUCCGGGAAACCGGGGCUAAUACCGGAUAACAUUUUGAACCGCAUGGUUCGAAAUUGAAAGGCGGCUUCGGCUGUCACUUAUGGAUGGACCCGCGUCGCAUUAGCUAGUUGGUGAGGUAACGGCUCACCAAGGCAACGAUGCGUAGCCGACCUGAGAGGGUGAUCGGCCACACUGGGACUGAGACACGGCCCAGACUCCUACGGGAGGCAGCAGUAGGGAAUCUUCCGCAAUGGACGAAAGUCUGACGGAGCAACGCCGCGUGAGUGAUGAAGGCUUUCGGGUCGUAAAACUCUGUUGUUAGGGAAGAACAAGUGCUAGUUGAAUAAGCUGGCACCUUGACGGUACCUAACCAGAAAGCCACGGCUAACUACGUGCCAGCAGCCGCGGUAAUACGUAGGUGGCAAGCGUUAUCCGGAAUUAUUGGGCGUAAAGCGCGCGCAGGUGGUUUCUUAAGUCUGAUGUGAAAGCCCACGGCUCAACCGUGGAGGGUCAUUGGAAACUGGGAGACUUGAGUGCAGAAGAGGAAAGUGGAAUUCCAUGUGUAGCGGUGAAAUGCGUAGAGAUAUGGAGGAACACCAGUGGCGAAGGCGACUUUCUGGUCUGUAACUGACACUGAGGCGCGAAAGCGUGGGGAGCAAACAGGAUUAGAUACCCUG
rnacentral:rRNA from 1 species